UCGUGGAUAGUAUAGUGGCUAGUAUCUCCGCCUGUCAAAUAUAACAGACCGCGGAAGACCCGGGUUCAAUUCCCGGUUCGCGAA
rfam:Sphaeroforma arctica JP610 cont1.3391, whole genome shotgun sequence.